GUACUCUGCACAGCUGGGGGCUGUGCUGCUGCAGGCCUCUGUGCCCGACAUGAGAGAUCCGCUUCAGUCGACAGGAUGUGCUACCUCACCUGCACUUCUUGCAGGUCUGGCUCUGCUGCUGUGCAGGCAGCAGGCUGGGUAUCGGAGGAUCUGACUGAUGAUCAAGCUGUGAUUCAGACCUCCAAGCCAGAGAAAACACACAAGAGUGCUGUAGAAGGUCUUUCUCUGCUAAGGGGGAUUUUUGGACCAGUGAAUGCACUUCUUUUUCCUGUUUCUUUUCUUUUUCUCGUUAGUAAAGCAACAGUCAAAAAGCCUAUGUCUGUAUACUUUUGCCAAACACACAAAUGUUUGGCCAGUUUGCGACUCGAUAACAUCCUGGGCUUGUGUCUUAGCUCCCAGCUUGGUGAUAAUAUCCUCCCUUAGCAAAGGAUUUUACAAGCAGAUGCACAUAUCAAAAUCAGUUCACCAACAUAACUGCAGUUUGAAUCCCCAUUUGCCAAAACCACAAUCCUGGGAAUGCAUUUUAAGGAUACAGCUUCUGUGAAAUUAUUUAUGCAAGGAAAUACUUUAUUUUUGCAUCAGGACCAAAAUAAGAUUUUUUUCAUAGGUCAGAAAUCCUUUGAAGUACUUUUUUCCCCCUUUAAUUCUCAUUAGUUUAAUUAAUUGUUGCUCUCUUUUGAAAUUAAAGAGAACAAAUUGUUCUCCUGGUACUGAAGGGGCACAAGAAAAUUACUGCAAACACUGUGUUUUUACCUGAGUUUUUAUUGUAUUUCUCCUGAAUGGAAACCCAGGAAAAAGGGAGUUAAAUUGUUCAUGGAAAAAAAAGGUAUUAUAUUCAAGCCAGAAAUAUAUUCAUGUGGUGAUUUCUUGUGGAUGCAUAUAGCAUUGCAAUGUUCUGAUAAUGGAAACAAUUUGUUUUAGAAACAGUAUAAAGGUUGCUAAUUUCCAAAUAAUGAGAAAUGGUCUGCUUGACAGGUUUUUCUUUAUGGUAUUUAUACCGCAAGCAUAGUAGCAAAUACCAGGAGCAGAGGCAAAGCCAAGCAGGCUUUCCAACAGCUGCUGCGACCCCUGCUGUAUUGCUGCCAAAGCUGGUGUGACGGGACAAGGAGAAGGACACAGGCUUUUAAGUGCCCCACUGUGUGAUUAGCCCUCUCCCUUCAGGUUGACUUUUUUUUUUUUUCCUAGAGAAAAUUUAGAGGAAAUUUUUAGAGGGAUUUUUUUUUUAGAGGAAAAUCAGGGCAACACUUGCAUGUGCUGAAGUGGGUGCAUUUUCCAUAUCAUUGUUUUCCACGAACAAAUACCUCUGAAAAACAUGCACAACUGGGAAAGAUAACCUGUCUGUGAAGCUUGCAGAGAUCAAUUUCUGCCAGAUUGUUUUUCAUUUUCCUAUUGCAUUUCAUGGGGAGGGAGGUUGUGGUUACUCAUUGCUGUUGUAUGAGGCAAAUGGGGUUGGUGCUUUGUGGGCUAAUAGAACGGGAGGUGGCAUCCUGCCCUGUGUCAGAGGGAGAUAAAAAUGCCUUCUUGUCUCACGGGUCCUUUUGAAACAAACCAUCAAGUUAGGUGUUAGAAAAAGAGUUGGUGAAGUGGUUGGAGAAGGAGGGUUGCUGGAGCAAAGUGCAUACGUUAUGCUUACCGACUAUUGAUCUUCUGAGUGUAUUGGUCAUUUUGCUCUGGCAAUAUUAGGGAUGAAAUGCAGUGAUGGGCCAUUUAGACAGCUGGAGCUGAUAUUUUGGGAAGAAUGGCUAGUCUGGAUCCUAUUCAGCUAAAGAACAACCUGGAACUGGAACAGGAAAGCAUGAAGACAUCCACCCGUGCACAACCUCUUUCCAAGAUGUGAAGAUUGAAGGAAGGCUGUUAUAUCUGCUGCCUUCACCAGCUCGUUUCUCCCCUGUGUGGGAGAGCAGUUAGGAGGCAAAGGAGUGUUUCCCCUUCAGUGCAUAGUAAGAAUGUGUGAUGACAGAGAAUGCCACAGAAAGACUUCACAGGUUUUAACAGAAGAUGAACUAUCCUAUGAUAUUCAGUAGAGACGUGGUCAUAUUUUUAGUGAGUUUUCUACUGAAUUCCUUACCAGUGACAUAGUUUUCCAAAAACUUUUAGAAAGGUUAACAUAGGCCCUUAAGAACUCAAUAAACCUCUAGAUUGAUGGCA
rnacentral:lncRNA from 1 species